AGGGAGAGAAACAUCAAUGUGUGGUUGUCUCUCACAUGCCCCCUACUGGGGACCUGGCCUACAACCCAGGCAUGUGCCCUGACUGGGAACCGAACCGGUAGCCUUUAGGUUUGCAGGCUGGAACUCAAUUCCCUGAGCCACACCAGCCC